GGUGGAGAGCCACGACCGGUUCGUCGGCGGCGAGAAACUCCCGGGCAAGGUGACCUUCGUCUCGGCGCAGGAGCAUACAGGCCCGGUGAGCGUCGGCCCGUCGGUGGACCGAGGAAGACCGUCGCGGAGCGGCGUCGACCGUUCGUCGUGUGUUGGCGUUCGACUCGGGGGGACUGGUUCCAGUGCCCUCGGACCGCGCCGGCGCAGCGGCGGGCGCGCACGGCGUCGCGCCUGGGGUCGGUGGCGAAACGGCCGGCAACCUGUCCGACCCGUCUUGAAACACGGACCAAGGAGUCUAACAUGUGCGCGAGUCGUUGGGCGCUACGAAACCCGAAGGCGCAAUGAAAGUGAAGGCCCGGUCUCCGGCCGGCCUGGGUGGGAUCCCGGCGGUCUCGGCCGUCGGGCGCACCACCGGCCCGUCUCGUUCGUUACGUCGAGGAGGCGGAGCAAGAGCGUACACGUUGGGACCCGAAAGAUGGUGAACUAUGCCCGAGUAGGACGAAGCCAGAGGAAACUCUGGUGGAGGUCCGCAGCGAUUCUGACGUGCAAAUCGAUCGUCAAACUUGGGUAUAGGGGCGAAAGACUAAUCGAACCAUCUAGUAGCUGGUUCCUGUCGAAGUUUCCCUCAGGAUAGCUGGCGCUCGUCGUGAGCAGUUUUAUCCGGUAAAGCGAAUGACUGGAGGCCUUGGG
rnacentral:rRNA from 1 species